CCUACGGGCGGCAGCAGUGGGGAAUAUUGGACAAUGGGGGCAACCCUGAUCCAGCCAUGCCGCGUGUGUGAAGAAGGCCCUCGGGUUGUAAAGCACUUUCAGUGAGGAAGAACGCCUGGUGGUUAAUACCCAUCAGGAAAGACAUCACUCACAGAAGAAGCACCGGCUAACUCCGUGCCAGCAGCCGCGGUAAUACGGAGGGUGCAAGCGUUAAUCGGAAUUACUGGGCGUAAAGCGCGCGUAGGUGGCUUGAUAAGCCGGUUGUGAAAGCCCCGGGCUCAACCUGGGAACGGCAUCCGGAACUGUCAAGCUAGAGUGCGGGAGAGGAAGGUAGAAUUCCCGGUGUAGCGGUGAAAUGCGUAGAGAUCGGGAGGAAUACCAGUGGCGAAGGCGGCCUUCUGGACUGACACUGACACUGAGGUGCGAAAGCGUGGGUAGCAAACAGGAUUAGAUACCCGAGUAGUC
rnacentral:rRNA from 1 species